rnacentral:misc_RNA from 1 species
GAGCAACACAAAACAGAGUGAUUAGAAGUGAGAAAACAUAUUGGAGUGAGGGGGAGAGAGAGAGAGAAGAAAAUAUUUUUCUUUGCCAAACGUCAUAUCAAUAGAGAGAAUAUUUUUGUUUGACAAGUACUAUGCCAACAAUGUAAACCGGUAAACCUUCAAUAGCAGGUAAAAGGUAUUUUUAUGUGCACCAAAUUAAAUUUCGAGUAGUUUUAUAUUACAAAUUGAAAUUCAAGUAACACGCAAUUAUAAACUCCUAAAUUCAAGGACACAUGGCCAAAUUUACUUACAUUAUCAUUUUCUUUGAUUUGA